GUUGUAUUAUACCAAGAUUGAAAGUUACAAAUCCGGAUGGACAGAGUUUCCUUCGUUCAAAAAGGUAUAUCAUCUAACCGAAAGUAUGUCAAUACUCCGGAUGUUUAGAUAACAUAACCUUUCAAAUCAGAAGAGAUAACCCACCAAAAAGGGCCUCGUUAAAACCCCUCAAGAGUAAAACCUUGUGGGGAAAAAACUCAAGAGGGAAAAAGAGUGCCUUACAAAAAUUACACCGAUUACAAAACAGACUAACAUUGAUGUCUUCUUUAUUCCUUUCUAUCUAUGUUUGUAGCUCGAUUGUCUUGUACACCAAAGUUCGCGUAUUCUCGGAAGCAGCCUUAAUAAAUAAAUUCAUAAAAUCUUUUUCAAACAUCCUGAAAAUAAAACAAAACAGAAUGAAAUGAAUAUGAGCGAAUUUGAAAAAAAAUUAAAAUAAAGACAUAAACGAGCCAACAUUAUGGCACGUAAAUGUCUCUAUGGGCCAAUAAUGCCCCAAUCAUGGUCGCCAUAAAUGGUACUAAAAACCUUAAUUUAGAAUAAUUAAUAUUCUUAAUUAAGGCACAAUUAUCGCCAAAUUUGCAUCCUUUGUCUCCACCCAUUUUGGAUCUCUCCAUCAUUACCAUGGAUGUUAUGACCUUGUUAGGCAAGAAGCUCCUACAUCCAUAACAAUUAGCAAUACCAGAACAACACAAAUAUAUAUAUAUAUAUAUAUAUAUAUAUAUAUAUACACACAUAAAUAUGAAUGAAUAUUAAUAUAAAAAGAAUAACGACGACGAAUAAAGAUUAAAUCAAUCAAAAGAAGUAAUUCAAUAGGCAGAUCGUCGAUUGGCUUCAUCGACAUCGAUAGGCUCGGCGAUAAGAAAGCUCCGCAUAACCUUGUUUCAAAUGAAAAUGAUGAACCACAUUAAUCAAAGAAUCAUCCACCGCAAUCAAUACUAUCAAAGUCAGGGCACCAAGGUAUAACUAAAACUCUCAAACCCUCUCUUCCUUUUCUAGCCAUCGUUAGAGGUUCCAUCGAUUUUCACCGAUGAAAAACUCCGAAUCAGUUAAUUUCUCUUGAUUUUUUCUUAUUUUCUCAAUAAUACUCCCCAACGGAUUUGUACUUGGAUUUUAGAUCUACUCGAUUUUCAAGUUCCUUUUCUAGCCACCGUCGGAGGUUCCAUCGAUUUUCACCGAUGAAAACUCCAAAUCAAUUAAUUUCUCUUGAUUUGUUCUUAUUUUCUCAAUAAUACUCCCUAACGGAUCUGUACUUGGAUAUUAGAUCUACUCGAUUUUCAAGUUUUUGAUUUGGUGAUGAAUCAAUUGGGAUGAGUCAAUGAGGAGUUAGCGACUGCGAUUCAGUUUUAGCCAUUUCCGGUAUCUACAUAUAUUUAUAUUCCGUAAGGUAAGGAUCAUGUGAAUUGACCCCACGACAAUGGUAUGAGUUCAAAAUCUUUGUUUUUAUUGUUUUUUAAUUGUAUUUGUCUUAUGUCCUAUGUUAUUGGUUAUAUUUUCGUAAUUGAAUUUCGUGUCUCGUUUAUUACUAGAUUUAUAAGACUUUAUAUCGUAAAUUGUGUUUUGGACAUGUUGUAUCUUUAGUUUGAAUUUUGUGUUCCUUUUG
rnacentral:lncRNA from 1 species